rnacentral:tRNA from 1 species
UCCCUAGUAGCUCAGAUGGUAAAGAGUCUGCUUGUAAUGCAGGAGACCUGGGUUUGAUCCCUGGGUUGGGAA